GAGCAAGCUUCAGUGGCAGUAUGUGAGCCAGUGGCCAAGUUAGGUCCUGAGCAAAUGGUUGAAGCACAGGAGCUGCCCUCGGCUCAUGGCGUGGAAGUGGCCAGGGAACCUUCACUGCAAGACACUGUAGCUGCCACUGCCAAGGAAGACCUGCUGCCCAUUCCAGUAGGGCGGGCACCACCCGAGGAUGAGCCUGAGCAGAUUCCUGUGGCACAAAUUACACCUCCUGAGGAGACUGUGGUGCAGGCUGCACCUUCAGCAGAUG